rnacentral:misc_RNA from 1 species
ACCCCCUCAAGCUCUGCUUGGUGUUGGGCGUCUGUCCCGCCUUUUGCGCGCGGACUCGCCCCAAAAGCAUUGGCAGCGGUCUUGCCAGCCUCUCGCGCAGCAGUUUGCGCUCGGUGAGGUUCCAGGCGGAUCCGCGUCCACGAAGCCCACAUCUCCAAU